rnacentral:rRNA from 1 species
GAUGAACGCUGGCGGCGUGCCUAAUACAUGCAAGUCGAGCGAACAGACGAGGAGCUUGCUCCUCUUACGUUAGCGGCGGACGGGUGAGUAACACGUGUAUAACCUACCUAUAAGACUGGGAUAACUUCGGGAAACCGGAGCUAAUACCGGAUAAUAUAUUGAACCGCAUGGUUCAAUAGUUAAAGACGGUUUUGCUGUCACUUAUAGAUGGUUCCGCGCCGCAUUAGCUAGUUGGUAAGGUAACGGCUUACCAAGGCGACGAUGCUUAGCCGACCUGAGAGGGUGAUCGGCCACACUGGAACUGAGACACGGUCCAGACUCCUACGGGAGGCAGCAGUGGGGAAUCUUGCGCAAUGGGCGAAAGCCUGACGGAGCAACGCCGCGUGAGUGAAGAAGGUCUUCGGAUCGUAAAACUCUGUUAUUAGGGAAGAACAAAUGUGUAAGUAAAUAUGCACGUAUUGACGGUACCUAAUCAGAAAGCAACGGCUAACUACGUG